rnacentral:rRNA from 1 species
UUCCCUGAUACUUAGCGGCGGACGGGUGAGUAACACGUAGGCAACCUGCCCUCAAGUUUGGGACAACUACCGGAAACGGUAGCUAAUACCGAAUAGUUGUUUUCUUCGCCUGAAGGAAACUGGAAAGACGGAGCAAUCUGUCACUUGGGGAUGGGCCUGCGGCGCAUUAGCUAGUUGGUGGGGUAACGGCUCACCAAGGCGACGAUGCGUAGCCGACCUGAGAGGGUGAUCGGCCACACUGGGACUGAGACACGGCCCAGACUCCUACGGGAGGCAGCAGUAGGGAAUCUUCCGCAAUGGGCGAAAGCCUGACGGAGCAAUGCCGCGUGAGUGAUGAAGGUUUUCGGAUCGUAAAGCUCUGUUGCCAGGGAAGAACGCUUGGGAGAGUAACUGCUCUCAAGGUGACGGUACCUGAGAAGAAAGCCCCGGCUAACUACGUGCCAGCAGCCGCGGUAAUACGUAGGGGGCAAGCGUUGUCCGGAAUUAUUGGGCGUAAAGCGCGCGCAGGCGGUCAUUUAAGUCUGGUGUUUAAUCCCGGGGCUCAACCCCGGAUCGCACUGGAAACUGGGUGACUUGAGUGCAGAAGAGGAGAGUGGAAU